UACAGAGGUGGCAAGCGUUGUUCGGAAUUACUGGGCGUAAAGGGCGCGUAGGCGGCCUCGUAAGUCCCGUGUGAAAUCCCUCGGCUCAACUGAGGAAUGGCACGGGAGACUGCUUGGCUUGAGUUCGGGAGAGGGAAGCGGAAUUCCGGGUGUAGCGGUGAAAUGCGUAGAUAUCCGGAGGAACACCGGUGGCGAAGGCGGCUUCCUGGACCGACACUGUCGCUGAGGCGCGAAAGCUAGGGGAGCAAACGGG
rnacentral:rRNA from 1 species